AGAGUUUGAUCCUGGCUCAGAAUCAACGCUGGCGGCGUGCCUAACACAUGCAAGUCGAACGAGAAAGUGGAGCAAUCCAUGAGUAAAGUGGCGCACGGGUGAGUAACACGUGACUAACCUACCUUUUAGUGGGGGAUAACCUAGGGAAACCUGGGCUAAUACCGCAUAAUACUUACGAGUCAAAGCAGCAAUGCGCUGAAAGAGGGGGUCGCGGUCGAUUAGUUAGUUGGCAGGGUAAUGGCCUACCAAGACUGUGAUCGAUAUCCGGCCUGAGAGGGCGCACGGACACACUGGAACUGAAACACGGUCCAGACUCCUACGGGAGGCAGCAGUGGGGAAUUUUGCGCAAUGGGGGAAACCCUGACGCAGCAACGCCGCGUGGAGGAUGAAGUCCCUUGGGACGUAAACUCCUUUCGAUCGGGACGAUAAUGACGGUACCGGAAGAAGAAGCCCCGGCUAACUUCGUGCCAGCAGCCGCGGUAAUACGAGGGGGGCAAGCGUUGUUCGGAAUUAUUGGGCGUAAAGGGUGCGUAGGUGGUUCGGCAAGUCUUGUGUGAAAUCUUCAGGCUCAACUUGAAGUCUGCACAAGAAACUGCCGGGCUUGAGUAUGGGAGAGGUGAGUGGAAUUUCCGGUGUAGCGGUGAAAUGCGUAGAUAUCGGAAGGAACACCUGUGGCGAAAGCGGCUCACUGGACCAUUACUGACACUGAGGCACGAAAGCUAGGGGAGCAAACAGGAUUAGAUACCCUGGUAGUCCUAGCCCUAAACGAUGAUCGCUUGGUGUGGCGGGUAUCCAACCCUGCCGUGCCGUAGCUAACGCGUUAAGCGAUCCGCC
rnacentral:rRNA from 1 species